GCACGGACUGUGCAAUCUCCUCAAGGUGAACUGCUCCUCUCCCUCCUCGAGGUUGAGGUAAAAGUGGUUCCAAACUCCCCCUCUUUGAUUUAAUCCCUGGAACAUCUCAUCUUUGUUUGUACAGAUCCGUUCUAUCUUUGCAUAGAAGGUGUUCGAUGAAAAUCCUAGAUAAGAUUAGCGUGUAUUUAUGCUCCAUCUAGCUGUUUGUAAACCAUAAUGCUAAUUAUUUCAGAAGUCAUCUCAUGACCAUAAAGCCAAUAUCGUUAAGAAUGAACUUACUGACAUAUUCUCUUGAACCUGCUCUUCUUUGCUAUGCUAUUAUGUGGUUUAGGUGGUGAACUUGUAUUUUAUGUAACUGAUUGAACCUACUACGGCUACGUUUUACGUACUACUGGUUAUCCUUUAGUUCAUAGUUUCCAUUAUAUAUAUGGAGUAAUUUGAUAUAUAAAACUGAGUGUCCAUUUAAUAGUAAAUAGAGUUAUUUUACUUGUAAGUAAUCUGACGAAGACAGUGCACAUAAGGGAAAGGCAGGGGAAAGGUGCAGCGAGUUUUUGCUGCUUUGUGAAAAAGAGAUCCGCCAUUAUUCUAAACUGUCUUUUUUAAUGCGUCGUCUUCUUUGAGGAAAAAACAGAAAAUUCAUGGAGCGAUGCAUGGAGAUUCAUGAUGGCCUUGUUCAUGUGAAAGGCCUCAGAAAAGUGGAGUCACUUAAUAUGAGAUAUUGUAACUACAUCACGGAUUCAGAUAUCAAAUAUUUAUAAGAUCUCACAAAUUUGAAGGAUCUGCAGUAGUUUUCUUGUAGAAUUACAGAUCUGGGUGUUUCUUACCUCAGGGGUAAACAAUGACUAUAACAUGCCUCUUUCUUUGUUAGAUGUUGGUACUUUUAUUUUGAGGUGGUUGGAUGAUCCAAGGACCAGUCGUGCAUUUUGGUGUUUUAUGGUCUACUCAUGAUCUCUAUGUAACUGUUUGACGUAUAUCUGAUCCACAGCUUCUCAUGGUUUAUAUUUAUCAUCUGUUUUAUGUAGGCUUGUCUAAGUUAACUCAGCUAAACCUGGAGCUGUCCAGUGACUGCUGCUUGUUUAGAGGCUAUCUCAGGUCUUGCAACUUCCCUAAUCCCUAAUAAGGGUUUACCUAGAUCCACUGGGCUUGCUUGCUUCGUUAGCUGAGACUUGUGGUCUUUUGGUUUGUUAACUUGUCAAAUAUUUGGUAGAAUUUUUUUUGGUGUGUUUCACUAGAUUUUUGUACUCUUAACGCAAGAAGAUUCGUGAGCAUAAUUACAUGAAAUUAUACUGAAAAAUGUCCAGUUAUGUACAAUUUCUUCCAAAGUUAUGUUUAGCCUUAAGGGGCCUGUUUGGAUUUCAGAUUUGAACUAGUUACCAAAAAAACUUUACCAAGAACACUAUUCUUCCAAACAGCUUCUAACUGUUUAUCGUUUGUUCUGUCCAUUGUACAUGAGGUCUCCUUAUAGUGCAGAGUUUUUUUUUGACAAAGAUUAUAGUGCAGAGUUAAGUGCCAUGUCACG